rnacentral:rRNA from 1 species
GAUGAACGCUGGCGGCGUGCCUAACACAUGCAAGUCGAACGGAUGCCUUCGGGCAUUAGUGGCGCACGGGUGAGUAACACGUGGUUGACCUACCCUCAAGUAGGGGAUAACGUUCCGAAAGGAAUGCUAAUACCCUAUAAGCUCCCGGUGUUUAGAAGACUGGGAGAAAAGUUCCGGCGCUUGAGGAGGGGACUGCGAAC